AGCAGGCGCGCAAAUUACCCAAUCCCAANNNGGGGAGGUAGUGACAAUAAAUAACAAUAUGGGGCUCUUACGGGUCUCGUAAUUGGAAUGAGUACAAUUUAAAUCUCUUAACGAGGAACAAUUGGAGGGCAAGUCUGGNGCCAGCAGCCGCGGUAAUUCCAGCUCCAAUAGCGUAUAUUAAAGUUGUUGCAGUUAAAAAGCUCGUAGUUGAAUUUCGGAGUUUGUCGGUUGGUCGGGCUUCACUGUCCGCACUGGCCUGAUGGAUUCCUACCUUCUGAAUAACCAGCAUGCUAUUAAGUUAGUGCGUUGGGGAAGCANAGCUAUUA
rnacentral:rRNA from 1 species